UGGGGAAGCUGAUCCUUGCUGCUGAGCCACAGGAAUACAUUUCUUCUUAGGACUGACUGCUCUAGAAGAUGAUUCUACGAUUCUAUGAAAAGGACCUGCACACCUGGGAAACAGUCUCCAUAGCCAAUCUGUGCAGGUGGAGGAACAGAGUUAAUUGCAAAGAAGAAGUAGGAAUUCUGCCUAUACCAUAGCAGGAAGGGUUCUGAAUAGGAGAUCCAGACACAAGACAAAAAGAGAAGCAAAACAAAUUUUGUGAUUAAACAAACCAUUUUGAGGGAAGCCUGACCCACAUGAGUGUAAAGCAGUGAUUGCCUCUAUGUAUUGAAGGAGAUGCACAAAUGUAGCCACAGGAUUCCUAACUUGAGGAUUUUACACGUGCUGAGAAUUGCAAGAUGUCCAUGUGGAAAUCUUUACUAUGGUCUAUUUGCAAGUGAGCCACACACAUGCUGACCAAUGCCUGCUCCCUCCAAUGCCUUCCAGAAGACACAUGAUUGACCACAGACACAACUCUAGGCACACAAAGUUUAGCUCCAGAAGAUUCCAUCCCCUUGCAUCUGUUCCAGCUCUUUAACCACCGUAGUGACCUCUGUAGGACUUUUAUCAGUCUGUCGAUGGGUUUCUUCUCCCUGAGGAAAAAGAUAUCUCACAGAGGAAGAAAACUGCUUCAUUUCUUAUUUUUCUCCAGUAUGGACAGCUGUUUCUGUGCUUCCCUGUGCAUCCUUACAACCUUGCCUUGGAUUUUUCCUCAUUUCAAAUGGAAAACCCCAUAAUAGAACUGAGUACAGCUUAACUCGCAGAUGUGCAGCUCCAGUGACGUUGCAGGAAUUGUCACAGGAACAGUGAUGAAUGAACUGCUGUAAAUCCAAAUUCAUAUUAAAAAAAAACUCCUGGGAAUCAGGAAGAGUGCAUUACUUUUUUAUUCACUUUUUUUUGUUUGUUUUUAGUUGUGUGAACAUGGAUGCUAACCACAUACUCAAAGUAAGGAGUACCUAGGGGGGAGCAGGAAACUUCCCCUCCUUCCCCAGACAGAUUUUUUUACAAAAUGAUACGUAUGUAUUCUGCUGUACAUGUCUUGAACUGUCAUUGGAAUUUUAAAGCACUUAAAGACUUAACAACUAACAGACAUAAAAUUUUGCUUCCUUUUAACCAUGAAGAUUUCAAUGAAGCCUGACUAACAAGAGCUAAUUCAUUGGAAAACAGUCUCAGUAGGAAAAGAUGCUAUGUGCAGUUACAGUGGUAUUCUCUGAAGUAUUUUAAAAUAGUAUUAAUUCAUGCUUUCUACAUUCCUAAUUCUGUCCCUCUAUCCCUCAGUAUUGUCACAUACUGUGAUCUUGAUUUUGACCUUUAGUGAAAUCAUUUACUCAUAAUACAGUUUGUGAUCUUGGAUACUAGUAGAUGAUUGUAAAAAUAUCUCAGUCUACACAUUUCUAAAGGACCAAGAGGAUAGGAUAGGAUAGGAUAGGAUAGGAUAGGAUAGGAUAGGAUAGGAUAGGAUAGGAUAGGAUAGGAUAGGAUAGGAUAGGAUAGGAUAGGAUAGGAUAGGAUAGGAUAGUUCAGUUUAGCAUGAUUGUUAAUGUGUUAAAUGCAAUCCAUUUUGAAUAUAUGUUCCUACAUAAUGAACGUUCUUCCCUAUAACAAAAAUGUGGUUUUUUUGUUUGUUUGUUUUUUGAGUGUUAGUGUCAUCAUGGAUAUCUUGAAAGAGUUUUGAGAGAGUGAAGUGCACUGCGGGUGUUAUUUAGUAAUAGGAUAUAGUAGGCUCUGAUGUCUGGAACUGUGAUUAUUUAUGAUUAUCAAAAAUAGAUGUGAAUAUUAGCAUUUGAGAAUAUAUCACAGAUUACAUAUUAAGAUGAAGAUAAAUGAGUCUGUGUGGUACAAGACUAGAAAUCAUUGUAACUAUCAAACUCUGCUUAUGGAAAAGUAAAUAACACUUGCAAUGAGAACGUGAAGGGGAAUGAAAACUGGAACGAUAUCAAUUGCAUACAAAGCCACUGGGAUCAGAUGAGCUGUGCAGAAUUUACAGUGAAAGACCCCUUAUUCUCAAUACAAGUUAAAAUAUGUUAAUGCAUGUCAGAAUCCUCUCCCCCCAAAACUCUUAUCCUUAAAGAUGUGCAUAUUCCCUUCAAAAAGAAUGAGAAGGCAAGAAGCCAACAGGCUGCUCUGAGAAAGUAUCCAGAAAGCUUGUCAAUGCUUGUCAGCAGAAAUCAAGAUGGGGAGACAGUCUAGGGAUGCUGUUGAAGUCUUUUCUCUGAUAUAAAGCCCUCUGGGGAGUAAGCAAUCUGGAAUAAUUGUAGAUACACCAUGAUAAUAGACUGAAGUCAAUUGCAAUUUAGGUCAGAUGAUCAAUUGAUUUUCCCUUUCUCCAGCUUGAUUCAGUGUCUAAUAAACACAAGCAAAAUGCAUUCUACUGCCUCUCAGGUUAGCAUACUUAAGGGGAUAAAUAUAUUAAAGAAAAAUUUUUUAAAAAUACUCUUGGUUAUUUUCAUUCUUAUUGAUUUUGUGCUCACAGAGGUGCACAGGGAGGAAACUGGAAAUCUUUAUGAUGGCAGAGGGUAAGAACUUUAGCACCAUAUCAUUUUUUUCCAAGAGGAAAGAUCCAUUCAGCAGACAGAUGGGUUGCUGUAUAUAUAGGGAAAGCUAAAAGUGACUGCAGGUCAGCACACCAAACAUGGUUAUGUGGGCCUAGGAUAUCAGAGAAAGAGAUUUGAUAAAAAAAUAUUUGGUAGGGAGGAUGACAGAUAUCACUGGGACACCCAGGUGUGGACAUUUCAGUGUUAAACUGGUCCUAGCAUUCUAAUCCACAUUCUUUAGGGAAAUUCAUUCUGCAGUCCCCCAAAACCAGGUCAAAUGCUUGGAAGUUCUUUGGACUCAAUGAUCCUUAUGGGUCACUUCCAUCUUGGGUUAUUGUAUGACUCUAUGAUUCUAUGAUCUAUUAAAUGACAGAUCCAGCUAACCAGAGGAACGGCAUCACAUUCAGAGCUUUAGAUCUGUGAUGCCCCCAAAACCUGAGUUUCCCUCACAUCACAAUGUCUUAAUCCUUGUCAUGAACUCCUUACAUUGGUGUAGCACAGACAAACAGCUGGUCUUUCUUAAUGUUCCCUUCUCAGUAUCUACACUCUGCAACAGUUUGGUUUGCAGCACUGAUAAACACAUCUUGGAGAAUUUUUAUCUACUGUUUCCCUAUCUGGAAAGGGAGUGAUUGUAAUCACUCUCCCUUUCUCUAUAGUGAUGAGGAGGAAGGUCCCCAGCAGGUCUAGAGGACUCUUCCCCUUUCUUGAUGGCUUUGUCAGCCCUGCUAAUGCAUAGCCCAAAAAAGGCUCUGAAUUUCCACAGGAUUGAAGCUUUAUUAAACUUCUUAGGUUGGACCACCUAGAUGCCUGAACAACAUGAAACCUAUCAAAUAUUUAUCUACAUGAAACUUCUGCUCUUAGUCUUUCAAACUCAAUGUAGUGUUGGAUCCAGAAGUGCAACCCAGUUUCCAUGGCUCACCUAGUGUCUUAAACAUAUGUUGAACUGAUGCUUAACUAAAUUCCAGGAUCGUGUUUUUUCCCUCUUUGCACGCAAAGAAAAACCAAGUACACUGUAAAGACCUUGCCACCUCCAGAAAUGUUCCCGCUAUGUUAUGCCAUGCAGACAGUCUGAAUGCCUCAGUUUCCAUUUUUGAAAGGCAGAAGGGGAUAGGUGUCUUCUGAAGAUGAUGUUAUAAAACACAGCUGUUGAAAAAUUGACUUACAAAAGGAGGGAAUAUUAUAUAAGAAGAAAUUCUUUUAUAUUGACACUUCAUUAAUACUAAAACAAAUCACUCCAUCAUGUUCCUAAGGGAAAUUCAUUUCUGGGAAGCUUGUUCACUAGCUUGUAUUAAAGAUCAGUUUGUUCCCGAGGUAGUGUAGAUGUAGUAGAACCAGUAAGAAAAUGUAUUAACAAUGUCUGAACCCAGCUCUGAGUUCAGGUGAGGUUUAGUUAUUAGAUAUUAGGAACAAUUUCUUCUCAGAAAGAGUGGUAAUUCAUUGGAACAGGCUACCCAGUGGUGGAGUCACCAUCUCUGGAGAUUUACAAGAACGGUGGAAAUGUGGCACUUAGGGAUGUGGCUUGAGUGGACAUGGGGGGGAUGAGUUGACCACGGGACUUCUUUUGUUGAUAAUCUCAGAGGUCUUUUACAACCUUAAUGAUUCUAUAAUACAUCAGAGGGAAGG